CAGUUUUGGGAUUUCGCCGAUUUCCGGCCAUUCCGGCCACCUCCGGCCACCAUAUUGACAUCGAAGGGUUCUUGAAGCUUCGGGGCUUUCCUUCACCGGCUUGAUUCGACCACUUCGAGGACGAGAGGAGUCUCCAUACGAGGAAAAUACCGAGCGACGUCAGGAUUG